rnacentral:rRNA from 1 species
UACGGGGGGAGCAAGCGUUGUUCGGAUUUACUGGGCGUAAAGGGCGCGUAGGCGGCCACUGCAAGUCAGUUGUGAAAUCUCCGGGCUUAACCCGGAAAGGUCAACUGAUACUGCAGGGCUAGAGUGCAGAAGGGGCAACUGGAAUUCUCGGUGUAGCGGUGAAAUGCGUAGAUAUCGAGAGGAACACCUACGGCGAAGGCGGGUUGCUGGGCUGACACUGACGCUGAGGCGCGAAAGCCAGGGGAGCGAACAGG